GCGUUCGUAGUGUAGUGGUCAGCACUCAACUCGUAACCGAGAGGUCCGUGGUUCGAGUCCUGGCGAGGGCA
rnacentral:tRNA from 1 species